ACAUUUCCUGUCAGGGAUUUUACCGCCAUUUUCUUUCAGAGGAGGACUGAAGAGAGCAGGUAAAUCAGUCUCAUAAUAUUCACAUGGUUUAGCUAAAUUAAACUGUUAUUUCUCUGUCUGACUCUACGCAGCCAUAUGCCAAAAAACCUAAAUAAGAUAUUUUUCCCAUUUUAUUUCCCCUUUGUUCGUUAUUUGGUUCAGUUUAAUCAGAGCUACCUUGUGUUACGUUGUUCCCUUGUUAGUUUAGUAUAAAGUUAAACUGCUAGCUAAAAGUUUUAACCAAUAAGGAUAAUAUUAACAGGAGAUAUGAACGAAAGAAUUGAACCAUGAUAAAACGCGACAUGCACUACAGAUUGAAGGUAUGAAAUUAAGUUAAAUGAGAGCUCGUUUAUUCAUCAUAUGAUGCUCGUUAUACCGUGAGUUAACGAGGUCGUUUACAUGCACGUGAGUGCACGGAUAUCGGUUAAUUAUUCAAAUUACUGAAAAACACGGAGAAAACCGCAACCGCAUCGUCAUGUGUUUUUCUAAGAUGUAUGCAAACAGGGGAAAUAUCGCCAAACCAACAAUUAAUUUUACCAAAACAUCACAAUAUAUCAUCAUUUGUAUGCACAGAUUGCUGGAUUGGAUGCAUUGUGUGUUGUAAGUUUUUCGUGGCGCUAGAUGUCAGACAGAUGCAAAUGGCAAAUACAUACGAAAGUGUAAAACGUGUAUGGCGAACAUUUGUUUUUCUGUCAUUAUAGGUGCUAGUUUGGUGAAAGUACACACUGAGUGCUUCAAAUCAUUCAGAAGAGAUGCUGUUUUAGGGCAGUUUAUUAAAGAAGACCUGACAUGGAUGACUUCCAAUGAGAAACGACUGCUAAUACUUAUAUAAAUUCAUUACAGAAGGACCCUACCAGACUAUAUUUGAAUACGGCAUACCCAUGAAUUCUGGAACUGUUAUUCCUUAACCCAGUUUGGAGGAUAAGAGCUUACCAACUAGUUAUAAAUAUGCUGAGGUGAUAUAUUGCAAAAUAGCCAACAUACAACAAU